CGCAUCCUGUUCAAGCCCACACAGAACCCCUCGCUUGUAGGUGUUGGCGCGCACACACACACACACACGGGCGCGUGUUUUGCGCUCCAGCACAGAUUCUAGCAUUGAAUUUCGACGCCCCUCCCUGCUUACCACCGGCACUGCCACGCUGUAUGCGUCUCGGGUUGGCAACGUAUUGGCCAUGCCGCUGUGCGCCUCGCCUGUGCGGCUUCAGCUUUGCCGCACGCCUUUUGUGUUCGGCGCCGGUGGAAAGUGGUGGAAGGAGGGGCCUCCGGACUACACCCGCGCCAACCGUCGGCGCAUGGAGCUGGAGCAGCAGCGCAUCGAGUCGAGUCAGUACCUGCCGCCGAUAGAGCCGACCGCCGAGCAAGCGUGCCAUCUCUAUCGGCGCCUUUUGAAGGAGGGCUACAAGACGCUAGUGGUGACAGACAAGGACUUUUACCGCCGCAAGGUGCGCUACGAGCUCGAGGUCACCUCGCGCCAGACGAGCUCUCGAGUGCGAGGGAUCAUGUUUGAAAAGGGCCACUGGAUGCUGGAGAACAAGCUCGGCGGGAUCAUCUAGCGCGCGCUUCCUCCGGGCUGUCAUGCUCUAGCGACGCUGAGCACGCGUUGGGGAAACUGCGCGUGUAUGUGCGGGCGUCCAAACCAUGUUCGUGGUGUGGUGAUGGCUGCCGCUGCCUCUUGUCGUCUUUUCUCUCUAGUGUGCGUGUCUCCGAAGAACAGUAAUCAAGAGGCAGCAAAGGAUGCUGAAGGAGAGAUGCCGCAAGGCUCGCCCUGCUCUCGUGCCUGUGGUCCAUCCUUCCUCUCGCACUUUCUCUCUCUGUCUGGGCGUGUCGUUCGGCACUUCUCCUCUCCUCCAUCUCUGCAGCCACAGAGCAGUGCUUAUUGUGUAAUGAUCGUUCGCGCCAUUUUAUGGUGCGGAUUGGUCACCUUGUGAAUACCGGAGGAGGGAAACAGCGGUAGUCGGCGGUGUCGCACACGGCGUCUGUGUAUGUGUGUGUGCACGUCAAGCGCACGUACACAUGUUCGAGGGAUGUGCACACGCACACACACACACAAAAGCAAAGAAGUCCUUGUGUGGGCGAAAAUCUGAAAGCGCGAUGCUCGCCGACAGCCGGUGUCGCAUUCCUUUCUCUCUCUCUGUCGAGUAGGUCGGUUCGCUGGAUCAGCUUUCCGUGGUCAAUGAUAAUAAGGAGUAGCGUUGCCGCGCACGCACGUGGCCCUCUCCGUUGUUGCUG
rnacentral:misc_RNA from 1 species